rnacentral:rRNA from 1 species
UACGUAGGGUGCGAGCGUUGUCCGGAAUUAUUGGGCGUAAAGAGCUUGUAGGCGGUCUGUCGCGUCUGCUGUGAAAAUCCGGGGCUCAACCCCGGACUUGCAGUGGGUACGGGCAGACUAGAGUGUGGUAGGGGAGACUGGAAUUCCUGGUGUAGCGGUGAAAUGCGCAGAUAUCAGGAGGAACACCGGUGGCGAAGGCGGAUCUCUGGGCCUGUCCUGACGCUGAGACGCGAAAGCUAGGGGAGCGAACAGG